rnacentral:rRNA from 1 species
AGAUUUCUUCCCUUCGGGACCUAGUGACAGGUGCUGCAUGGCUGUCGUCAGCUCGUGUCGUGAGGAUGUUGGGUUAAGUCCCGCAACGAGCGCAACCCUCGUCCUUAGUUGCCAUCAUUAAGUUGGGCACUUUAGGAAACUGCCGGUGAUAAGCCGGAGGAAGGUGGGGAUGACGUCAAGUCCUCAUGGCCCUUACAGGCUGGGCUACACACGUGCUACAAUGGCAUCUACAGUGGGCAGCUAUUCCGCAAGGAUGCGCUAAUCUCCAAAAGAUGUCUCAGUUCGGAUUGUCCUCUGCAACUCGAGGGCAUGAAGGCGGAAUCGCUAGUAAUCGCGGAUCAGCAUGCCGCGGUGAAUACGUUCCCAGGCCUU